ensembl:piRNA 21ur-12712 ncRNA
UUUGCGGAGCAUUAUACAACG